rnacentral:lncRNA from 1 species
CCUACAAUGUCCACUGUUCCAGAAAUCUCAGAAAGAAAUACACAGAGACACAGAAUUCAGGUAAAAUAAUAAAAGUUCUACUUGCAAGCCGCCAGGACCACCACAAACCAGUCUGGGGCCACCCAAAGACCCAUGGCCACCUCCCACCAGGCCCACGACCUCUACCCUUCCUGGGGAACCUUUUGCAGAUGAACAGAAAAGGCCUGGUCAAAUCCAUCCUGCAGAUUCUUGGUACAUUGCCUUGGCUGGCCUCGACUGUGCAGUUCACCUUUCUGAGCCCUGAGAGUGGCCAGGAUUGCAGAGCUCUGCUACCAGACCAGACUAAUCAUCUACUUAACUAUUAAUAAUUCAUCAGCAUCAACUGCAGUGGGAGAGAUGGAGCACUGACAGCAAUGCUCUGCUCCUCGUCCUCUGCUCCCUGCUGUGGAGACCACACUCCGGGAAGCCUAGGAUUCUUCGCCCUUUCCUAUCAACAGUGGUUUUUUUUCUGAUCAAUGAUUUAUUUAUUGAUAAUAUUGUCUCUUUAUUUUUAGUUUUUGGUUGCAGGGAUGGUGCUGGGGACAGAAUCCUGGGUGGUAGAGAACACAGGAGAGGAAAUUGGAGUUUUACGAUCAUUCCAAGUCCUAGAAAGGGUUGAUGUAGGAAGUAGGACUUAGACGCUUAAAGACUGGGAGAGUGAGGAGGAGUGUGGAGAAGAAGGCAUUCUUGAUGGGUACUGGGUAAAGGUGAGGAUGGAGGCCCAGGUGAAUGGAGAGCAUGGCAUGCACAGCAGAGAGCAGGCACUGCACUGUGGUACCAACAUGAGGAACUGGCUGAAGUGAAGAGGAGCAGUAGGCAAUAAAGUGGUCCACCCUAGUAGCAAAAUGGAGGCUCUUGGCAACUUACCCUGUUUUCUGUUGCUAUGAGAAAUAAUUGAGGCUGGGACUUUAUUAAGCUAUUUAUUUUUUGCCCUUAAAUUCUUUUAUUGGUACAUUUUAGGUAUACAAUACAUUUGCAUCUAUCAUUGCAUGCUUGUACCUGUGCAUGGUGUAUCUUGGUUUUUAUUCUUUUCCCCAUUACCUGUGUGCCCUUCACCCCUUCCCCCAUAAAGAGAUUUAUUUAGCUUUAUUUAGAGGCUGACAAUUCAAGACCAGGCAGUACCAGGUGUUCAGCCUCUGGUGACAGCUUUCUUAGCUGUGUCACCUUAUGUUAGAAGAGGAGAAAGGGAACCUCCAACAUCCAAAAGGGUCCAAGCAGGCCAGGGAAUUAGCUCAGGGCCAGGGAUUUAGCUCAGUGGUGCCACUGCCUGCCCCACAAGCACAAGGACCUGAGUUUGAUCCCCAGUACCAAAAAAAAAAGGGGUGUCCAAGCAUGUGAGGUGGCCCUAGUUUGUAACGAUCUGGUUUCUCAAGAACUAGCUCUUUCUGAAAGACCAGCAUUAACCUGUUCUAAGGGUGCUGCCCACAUGAUUUAAUUACCUUCCAUAGGCCCCACCUUUCAGAGGCUCCACCUCCUCUUAACGUAGCCAUGUAGGGAAUCAAAACCCCAACAUAUAAAACCGUGGGGGACUCACACAAAGCAUAUCCAAACUACACACAUGAAGCAGGCAAGAGAGAGAGAGAGGUAACUGGUCCAGAUAGAAGACUGAAUGUGACGGUUUUGUGAUCCCCUGAAACAACCAGCAUGGGUCUCCCAGGCACCUCAGGUGGGAAGUCUGGAGCUUGGCUCACAUAUAGGCGCUGCUGGGCACUUUGGUGAGGUCCAGCUCAACUCCAAGGUGCUUAACUCACCAGCCUGGGAUGUGCAGACCUGCGUCUCAGAAUACUGCCUGGAGGCUUUAGUUUGUGGCUCAGGAAGCCUAGGCCUGCUCUCCUAGGCAGCUGUGGUGUCUGGAAGGUGGCUGUGUGAACUUUUGUCCAAAUGUGAGUGUUACCAAGAUUAAAGACACAGCACCAGUCAAAAGUCCAAGGUCUGGAAGCUCGCUGUAGAGUGUCCAGUGCGAGUCUGCAUUAGAAGACUGAAGAAACUGGAGACUGAUUUCCAAAGGCAUUGGCGAAGACUGUAGCUCUCCUGAAACAGGGACCCUUCUUUCUUCUUUCCUUUUUAUUUUGUCCACACUACAAGCCGAUUGGCUGGAUAGUUCUUCCUCCCUCAGUUUGCUGGCCUACCUGUCAGUCACCCACAUACACACCCAGAACCCUGCUUUCUUAAUCAGCUAGGCAGUUCCAACUCAAUUCAAUUGACCAACGUGCCACAGUUAAAGGCGGUAAGUAGGAUGAAAUUCAGUUGGUCCAGGGCAGAAGAACAAAGACAGCCUACAGUGUCUAAUAACUCUUCACAUUUGGAUUGUACAAUCAACUUUCUACAAUUUCAUAAAAAUGCUUUAAAAUUUCUAGUCAAGCCUAAGGUUGAUGCUACUAUAAAAUGAGAUUUUUUUGAGACUUAGGAAUGGUUCUGGGUAUUUUUUCAUGUUGGAAGAAUAUAAAUAAUUUUGGACCAAGGGUAAGUGUUUGACUCUUGGGAAUUAAAGGUGGCCAUGAAUUCUUUAAAAAUAUAAAAUUUCUAACCAAAUUAAAAUUUUAUGUAUUAAAAUGAUGUUCUUUUUGGUAUCAUUUCAGUAUUAUUAAAAAACUCAACUUUUGAGCUCCUAAAAUGAGGGGAGAAGUGUUCCUUCUUUUUUCUGCUUUAAUUGUUUGAUAUAAUUUAUCAGGUAAAAUAUUUAUGAGCCUGCUGUUGUCAUAUAGGUAGGUUUCCAAGCUAGG